CCCAAAACCCUAGCUUAUUUUGCUCCCACCCCACCUCUCUCUUCUUUCCACCCGAUGGCAGGCGAGACGGGCGAGCAGGUGGCAGCGCGGAGCGCCGGCGCUAAGAGAGAGAGCGGCGCCGCGGAGCUCCGCCCGCCGGAGUUGCGUGGCGCGCAGCUCUGUCGAGCGCAGCUCGACGGUGCCCUAAAGCACCCGCCGGCCGCGCCCGUGUACUUUAACGGCGAGCCACGGUGAGGACCGGCACGGCGGCGCCUGAUCCGGCCGGCGGCCGGCCAUCGUGGCCUCGAGGCACGAGCGUGGGGUCGGCGGCGGCCGGUGUGGUGGGCCGCGAGGCCGCUCGGGACGAACUCCUGAGCCUUCCCUCGCCUUUACCGACGGCCAUGGCGACGGCGAUGGCCAUGACAGCCCUUUAGAUCAUCAUCUAACACUCAGGUAAUGAAAUUGCUUACCUGACUACUCCUGCCGAAGGCCUUGACGGCUGGACAGAAGGUAGGCAUGCAUGCAGGAGGCAAGCAAACAAGCAAGGCAGACAUGCAUGCAGUGCAGGUGAAAACCUGAUGAAGCAAAUAAGCAGCAUAUCCAUUGCACAAGAGAACACGUGUACAGGUUCAACCAUAGUACCAUUGCAAGAAUAAGCAGAGAAAUCACAGCAUAGCCAGACACAACGACAGGCAGCAUAUCCAUCGCACGAACAAGCAGCCACCGAAAAGGCGAAAACACGUGUACAACUUCUUAAAUUUGCUAACUAUUAUUACAAGUUCUACCAAAGAAAAAUAAUAAGGGGUUCAAUCACAGCAGGUUUCCAAAACACAUUUGGUCCAUUUAUGGUUCCACCACCGACUCUGUUUUAUGAUGGCAUAUGCUGCUCGCUCUUCUUA